rnacentral:rRNA from 1 species
GACGAACGCUGGCGGCGUGCCUAAUACAUGCAAGUCGAACGAGAGCGACCGGUGCUUGCACUGGUCAAUCUAGUGGCGCACGGGUGAGUAACACGUGGGUAACCUGCCCAUCAGAGGGGGAUAACAUCCGGAAACGGAUGCUAAAACCGCAUAGGUCUUCGAACCGCAUGGUUUGAAGAGGAAAAGAGGCGCAAGCUUCUGCUGAUGGAUGGACCCGCGGUGCAUUAGCUAGUUGGUGAGGUAACGGCUCACCAAGGCCGUGAUGCAUAGCCGACCUGAGAGGGUGAUCGGCCACAUUGGGACUGAGACACGGCCCAAACUCCUACGGGAGGCAGCAGUAGGGAAUCUUCCGCAAUGGACGCAAGUCUGACGGAGCAACGCCGCGUGAGUGAAGAAGGUUUUCGGAUCGUAAAACUCUGUUGUUAGAGAAGAACAAGUGCUAGAGUAACUGUUAGCGCCUUGACGGUAUCUAACCAGAAAGCCACGGCUAACUACGUG